rnacentral:lncRNA from 1 species
GUCAUGCGGCGAGCACAGGCAGGCUGGGUUUGUUUGCCUGACUGCCCUCCAGGAAUUAUAGCUGGGACACAGAAACACUCCUUUAUAAGCCCACAGGCUGUUGGAGCCACUGCAGAGAAGAUAGGGGGAGAGGAGGAGGGAAGACCGAAUGAGUGGAGCGAUGAGGAGAGAUCGAGAGGAGGAUUAUGACAAAGGAGGCUAAUCGAUUGAGGCCUGCUGAAGUGUGAUACUGUACUAAACGUUGAUGACUUAUUGAUCCAUCCAGACUGGAUUAAAACUCGCUGGAUCGUGGAUUGUUUAGGUAGCCUGUCCUGCGUCCCCCUCUCUCUCUCUCUCUCUCUCUCCCUCCCGCCCUCUCUCAGGCGUACUAAACACUGCAGGCAACACUAGGGAUAUGAACUCACAUACUGGUUUGCAGAUAGUUAUGUGAGACUGCAGUAUAGGGUUCAGUGAAUAAUUAAGAAUUUUGUUGUUGCUCCAGUGAACGGCAUACUUCACCACUUCUCUCUCUCAUACACACAAACACAUCAUUUCAUUCUACUUGUACACACAAAUAACCAAAUGAUACUAUAUUCAUGUCUACACACACGUCACACACACCUGUACUAAGUGACGUUUGCCUACAGCUCAUUAAAACGCACAGUCUCAAUUAUUCAGUAGGUCUGAACAGGUUUUGUCUGGAGGAAUAGAAAAAAGAUGGAGAGAUGGAGGUGAAGAUGGAGGGAUAGAGAUGGAGGUGCAGAUGGAGGGAUAGCGGUGCAGAUGGAGGGAUAGCGGUGCAGAUGGAGGAAUAGCGGUGAAGAUGGAGAUAUAGCGGUGAAGAUGGAGGUGAAGAUGGAGGGAUGGAGGUGAAGAUGGAGGGAUGGAGGUGAAGAUGGAGGGAUGGAGGUGAAGAUGGAGGGAUGGAGGUGAAGAUGGAGGGAUAGAAGUGAAGAUGGAGGGAUAGAGGUGAAGAUGGAGGGAUAGAGGUGAAGAUGGAGGGAUGGAGGGAUAGAGGUGAAGAUGGAGAGAGAGGUGAAGAUGGAGGGAUAGAGAUGGAGGUGAAGAUGGAGGGAUAGAGGUGGAGAGAUGAAGGGGCAGGGAUAGGUGGAGUAACUUGAACCCUAAACCUAUACAGAAUAAAAUGCAAGAAAGUUUUGGUGAUGUAGGACAUUUUGUCCUUUCCAGCAUGUCCUUCUAGUGAUGUUCAGGGCACAUAGCUCCAAGCUGUACCCCAUUCUGGCUUCAAGCUCCGGUCCACAGUGCUCUGUUUUAGUCACUCUCACACACACACAUUCACCCCUUUGUACCCUCCAACACACACACACACACAGACAUAGACACAUAGACACACACAGACAUAGACACACGGACACACACACACACACACACACGUAGACACACACACGCAUACAGUAUAUGGAAACACACACAUGUCCUGCUUUAAGCUCAGGUCUAUACUGCUCCCAUGAUGCCCAG